rnacentral:lncRNA from 1 species
GUUUCUCUUUUUCAGGCGUAUUUUCUCAUCUUGUCUGAAGCUUUUGAGGGCAGACUACCAAGGCCCGGAGGAAUAGUAGAUGGUCUGUCUAGAAUUCCAAAGGCAAAUGACUCAAGGUAACAGGAAAAAAGAAAAUCCAGUAUCAGGAUAAUCAGAACACCACAGGUUUACAGUUUGUAGAAACUAGAACACGAGCAGCUCUCACUUAAGGUCUGUGAUGGAACUCCAGUGGAGAAAUGGCUGGUACUUUUUCCACCCCUUAAUCAGAUUUUUUUUUAAUUAAAGUAUGUAACCGGUUAUUUUUACUUGAAGUAUUUUGGGGUGGUCUUAACAGGGAAGAGGGUGGGGGAGAAAAUGUUUUUUUCUAAGAUUUUCCACAGAUGCUAUAGUACUAUUGACAAACUGAGUUAGAGAAGGAUUGUACUGCUAUGCUGUUGGCACCAAACACCUUCAGGGAUUGGAGCUGCUUUUUUCCUUGGAGUAUUCCCAGUGAAGCUGAAAUAUACAGCACAGUGCAGCUUUGGUUCAUAUUCAGUCAUCUCAGGAGAACUUCAGAAGAGCUUGACUAGGCCAAAUAUUGAAGUUAAGUUUUCAAAUAAUGGAACUUUUUAAGAUGCCUUUUAAAGGGGAGGGGCAAGUUUUGGCAAUUAGUUGGCAGUGGCCUGUUUUGGUUGGGGUUGGGUGGGUUGGGUUUAGGUAAUUGUUUAGUUUAUGAUUUCAGAUAACUCAUGCCAGAGAACUUAAAUACUUAGGAUGGAAAAACUAAAGAAAUCUCACCUCCCAAGUUGGAGCUUCAGAGCAAAGGAAGUGGCUUAAUGAUCCUGAAGGGAUUUCUUCUGAUGGUAGCUUUUAUAUUAUCAAACUUUUUUCAGAUAACAUCUUCUGAGUCAUACCCAGCCUGGCAAUAUGAUGGCCUAGAUGGAGAGGGGAACAGCUCCUUGGUGAAUGAUAAACAGGUUUCUCUAUCAGAAGAGUUGCUUCAUAUCAUCUGGGAGCAGAAAACAGCAGGCAGCUGUUCACAGAUAAGUUUAACUUGCAUCUGCAGUAUUGCAUGUUAG